AACGAACGCUGGCGGCAGGCCUAACACAUGCAAGUCGAGCGCCCUUUCGGGGGAGCGGCGGGCGGGUGAGUAACGCGUGGGAAUAUGCCCUUCUCUACGGAAUAGCCUCGGGAAACUGAGAGUAAUACCGUAUACGCCCUGUGGGGGAAAGAUUUAUCGGGGAAGGAUUAGCCCGCGUUGGAUUAGGUAGUUGGUGGGGUAAUGGCCUACCAAGCCGACGAUCCAUAGCUGGUUUGAGAGGAUGAUCAGCCACACUGGGACUGAGACACGGCCCAGACUCCUACGGGAGGCAGCAGUGGGGAAUCUUAGACAAUGGGGGCUACCCUGAUCGAGCCAUGCCGGGUGAGUGAUGAAGGCCUUAGGGUUGUAAAGCUCUUUCAGCUGGGAAGAUAAUGACGGUACCAGCAGAAGAAGCCCCGGCUAACUCCGUG
rnacentral:rRNA from 1 species